rnacentral:rRNA from 1 species
GGAACAGACGGGGGCAUUAGUAUUGCGACGCUAGAGGUGAAAUUCUUGGACCGUCGCAAGACUAACUACUGCGAAAGCAUUUGCCAAGAAUGUUUUCAUUAAUCAAGAACGAAAGUUAGAGGAUCGAAGGCGAUCAGAUACCGCCCUAGUUCUAACCAUAAACGAUGCUAACUGGCGAUCCGUCGGCGUCAUUCCCACGACUCGGCGGGGAGCCCCCGGGAAACCAAAGUUUUUGAGUUCCGGGGGAAGUAUGGUUGCAAAGCUGAAACUUAAAGGAAUUGACGGAAGGGCACCACCAGGAGUGGAGCCUGCGGCUUAAUUUGACUCAACACGGGGAACCUCACCAGGCCCAGACACCGGAAGGAUUGACAGAUUGAGAGCUCUUUCUCGAUUCGGUGGGUGGUGGUGCAUGGCCGUUCUUAGUUGGUGGAGCGAUCUGUCUGGUUGAUUCCGAUAACGAACGAGACUCUAGCCUGCUAACUAGUCGGCGGAUCGUCUCCCGAGACGGGUUUCCUUCCGCGGGGGCUUAGGGCGAGGGUAGCUCACGGGGGGCUCGUCGUUUCUCUCGUUCUCGGCAACGCGGGGUAGGUCGAAGGUAGAUGACGGAAAAGACGAGGAGGGUGGCGAGAGUCGUUGGCGGUCGGUUGGGGGUGGUGGUGGUA